AGAAGUUCUAAAACAUGCAAGUUAGGCUAAGAGGGAUCCAUUAGCAGAGUGCAGCUCUGCCAAGAUCUGAGCCAGGAGGAAGAAUCUUCAUGCAAAUAGAUCAGGGAAAGUAGCUCUCUGACAGGGAGUGAAGUCAAAGCAGUGAAGAUUGCAGGCAGGAGAGUGAAAGAAAACAAGAUCUAUCCGCCAUCCUUAUCUGCUCCACAGGAGGCUGACACUCCAAGCCAUGUCCACAGAUUUCCUUGCCUUCUGGCUUCCAGUGUGAUUUGGUCAAUGGGAGUCGCCAGCAGGAGAUAAGAGGAAGGGAGGAAAAUGAAAUGGGGUGUUGAUUUCCCUGGAUUCCUCAUUGCUGGGUCGUUGUGCUGUUCAGCCCUUUAGAAAAGGCCACAUUUCCUGCCAAGCAGUCUUUUCCAUACCAUCUCCCUCUGGGCUUAGUGUUCAUUCCAUCCCUUGCCUCUCUAGACCUAGGAAUAAUAACAGCCUGCUGCUAUUGCUAACUUUGAGGUCCUACACCUUUCCUGCUCCUUUCCUAAAUGGUUGUGAGAGUUUCCUUAUUAAUCUCUUCUCCUUUAUCUAGUUGAGCAUACCAUCUACUCCUGCGGUAUUCUGACUGACACUAAAGUAAUGUAGUCCAGCAUUCCUCCCAAACUAAAAAGCUCUCCAGGGAGAGGAUGUCACCACAUUGGGUGACAGGCUAUUCUGUUUCUUCUCAUAGGUUCUUGCCAGCCAACAUUAUUUUUUUGUUUUUUCACUUGCAUAAGUUCUUUAAAACUUGGAGCAUUUAGGCGCUCUUAUGCUACUUUGGAUUUAAGACACUCCUUUCCUCCCUCAUUGAUUUUUACCUGACAUUGCAUUACCUAACUUUCAUGUUUUAGACUUCUCAUCUUUUUCAAACAACUUUCUUUUUAGUCCUCACACCUAUUGAAUCACACCUAUAUUUCUUCUGGUAUUUCUCAAAUCUUUCAUAGGGCAGGAAUCUUCAUUUUGUUCUUCUUUUUUAAAUUUGAUGUAGCCAUUUGUUAACUUUAUUAUACAUCUUAGGAUGUGUUUCGCAAGUUUCUCAAAAAUUCAGUCAGAGUCUAGCAUUAAGUUUGUAGAUUAACUGGGGGAGAAUUGACACCUUUACUUUGAUAAAUUCUCUCAUCCACCAAUUAUGAAAUAUUGUUCCAUGUACUGUUCCAUGUCUUUAAUAAGAUUACAAAAUUAUUUAUACUAAAUUAUUAUGUAUUCUUGAGAGUUUGAUUCCUAGAUAUAGCAUAGACUUUGUUGUGAUGUGUAUGUUAUCUUAUAUUCUGUAACAUUUUUAGUUGAUUUUUGCUAAGGUAGAGAAACACUACUGAUUUUCCCUUAGAUCUUUUAUCUGGUAAAUUUGCUGAAUUGUUAUUAGCAUUAUUUCUAGUAGCAUUUUUUGUUGGUCCUGUUGGAUUUUCUAUGAAGAUCAUCGUAUCAUAUGCAAAUAAUAAUUUCCUUUCAAAUCUUAUAUAGCAUACAUUUUUGUUGUCUUAUCACAUUAAACAUGACUUCCAAAAACAUGUUACACAGUUGUAGUGAUACUGGUUAUCUUUGUCUUGUUCUUGACCUUAAUGGACAUGUAGCUAAAUUUUCUCCUCUAUAAAUAAUAUUUUUAAAGGUUUUCAGUAUAUAUUACUCAUAAAGCUAAGAAAAUAUCUUCCAUUACUGGUUUAUAAGAUUUCUAAAAAUUACAUAUUGAUACUGAACAUAGUUAAAUGCUUUUUCUGCAUCUAUUAAGAUAAAAUUUUUCUUCUUUGUUUCAUAUAGCUGGUAAAUUAUGCUGAUUGUUUUUCUGUUGCUAAAUCAUCCUGGCAUUCCUGGGAUAAAAUAUUAAUAAUGAAUCAUUAGAUUCAACUAGCUAGUAUAUUAUUUAGGAUUUUUACAUCUAUGUGCAUACACUAAAUGGGUGUGUGUAUAUAUAUACACAUACACACAUACACAUAUAUAUAUAAAACUAUGUAUAUAUAUAUAUACACACAUACAUACACCGUGUAUAUAUAUACAUAUACACACACACACACACAUAUACACACACACCAUAUCUCUAUAUGUAGUGAGUGAGAGUACUUCACUAUGCAGUUUUGAGAUUAAGGUUAUUCUAGUUAUGUAAAGGAAGCAUGGCAGCUCUAAAUUGUUUUCUGUUAUGGAGCAAUAAGAGAGAGAUUAUCAGAUACUUAAAAUUUUGAUAAAACUUAUCUGAAAAAUUGUCUGAGCCAGAGGAUUUUGAGAGAGAAGAUACAUGAUUUCCAUUUCAAUUUUCCAGUUAUUUACUUUUUCUUGUUAUUUCAUUUUUGUCAUCUUAUAUUUUUUCAGAAAUGUAUCUACAUUGUCAUCAAAUUUAUUGGCAUAUACUCACAUUUUUUAAAUCCCAUAUCUAGAACAAUGUCUUCAUUUUUAUUUAUUUAUUUGCACUUUCACUUUAAUUUUCUUGAUUAGUCUUGCCAAAGACUUAUGUAUCUUUUCAUAGAAAAACUUUUUGAGUUCUAUUACUGUCUAUUUAUUGUCAUCUAUUUCAUUGAUUUCUGUCAUUAUGCUUUUUAUUCUUUUUCCUUUGGGCCUUUUAUAUUAGUAUCUUUUGAACUUCUUGAGCUGAGUGUUUAGCUCAGUGUAAAAACAGUAUAAGUACUUUAACUGUUAUACACAUUAUAUCAUGUAAUUUUUCACUAUUCUCCCAUUCUUUUUAAAUUUACUUAAUAUUUUAUGUUUACUAUAAUGGUUUUUAUAGCAAUACUGGUUUCUAGAAUUAAGUGAUUAAGUGAUUGUUUUUUUUAAAGAGAUGGAGUCUCGCUAUGUUGUCCAGGCUGGUCUUGAACUCCUGGGCUUCAGCAAUCCUCCCAUCUCUACCUCCCAAAGUGCUAGGAUUACAGGUGUGAGCUACCACACCUGGCCCAGCUUUAGGAGAUUUUAAAGUUAUCAUUUUAUUAUUGGCUGGUAGACUGAAGAUAUGGUCAGCAUGAUCUUGAUUCUUUAGAAUUUAUUAGAACUUCCUUUACAAGUCACAGUUUUUGUGUAUGUUUCUUGCAUUCUUUUUAAAUGUGUAUAUUUCCUAAGCCAGGCACAGUGGCUCACACCCGUAAUCCCAGCACUUUGGAAGGCUUACGGGGGUGA
rnacentral:lncRNA from 10 species